GCCCAGUCGUUGGCACUGGCUCAAAGGCGAAGCUGACACUUCCCCCGAGUUCCGCUGGUUAGAGCCUGGUGCUUAUAAUGCCAAGGUUGCAGGUUCAAACCCUGUAUGGGACA